GCCUCCUUAGUCUAGCGGUUAGGACGCCGCCCUCUCACGGCGGUAUCAGGGGUUCGAAUCCCCUAGGAGGUGCCA
rnacentral:tRNA from 1 species